UAUAUACUGUCUCAUAUAUAUAUUUAUGAAUUUAAAAUUUUAAUAAAAAUGUUAAAAUUUAUUUAUGGGACGAUAAGACCCUAUAGAAUUUUAUAUUAAUUUAAUUAUUUAAUUAAUAAAUAAUUUAAAUUAAUAUUUAAUUGGGAGGAUUAUUAAAUUUAAAAAACUUUAAUUUAUAAAAACUUUAAUUAAAGAAAAUUUUAUGAUCUUGAAUUUUAAAUUAUUAGAAUAAAUUACCUUAGGGAUAACAGCGUAAUAUUUUUUUAUAGAUCUUAUAGAAAAAAAUGAUUGCGACCUCGAUGUUGAAUUAAGA
rnacentral:rRNA from 2 species